rnacentral:tRNA from 1 species
AGAGAAGAAUCAGCGUGUGAUUGCCACAGGUAGGGUAGCCGAGCGUUUAGGCGGUGGGUUGUAGCCCCGAAGACAGAGGUUCAAGUCCUCUCCCUAUCAGAGCCCCGUGGUGGAGUACACAUUGGAUUGCAAAUCCAAAGACGCAGAUUAAACCCUGCCGGGGCUU